rnacentral:rRNA from 1 species
UGCCUUACACAUGCAAGUCGAACGGCAGCGCGGACUUCGGUCUGGCGGCGAGUGGCGAACGGGUGAGUAAUACAUCGGAACGUACCCUGUUGUGGGGGAUAACUAGUCGAAAGAUUAGCUAAUACCGCAUACGACCUGAGGGUGAAAGUGGGGGACCGCAAGGCCUCACGCAGCAGGAGCGGCCGAUGUCUGAUUAGCUAGUUGGUGGGGUAAAGGCCCACCAAGGCGACGAUCAGUAGCUGGUCUGAGAGGACGAUCAGCCACACUGGGACUGAGACACGGCCCAGACUCCUACGGGAGGCAGCAGUGGGGAAUUUUGGACAAUGGGGGCAACCCUGAUCCAGCAAUGCCGCGUGUGUGAAGAAGGCCUUCGGGUUGUAAAGCUC